CACGUAGGGCGCAAGCGUUGUCCGGAAUCAUUGGGCGUAAAGAGCGUGUAGGCGGUCCGGUAAGUCGGCUGUGAAAGUCCAGGGCUCAACCCUGGGAUGCCGGUCGAUACUGCCGGACUAGAGUUCGGAAGAGGCGAGUGGAAUUCCCGGUGUAGCGGUGAAAUGCGCAGAUAUCGGGAGGAACACCUAUGGCGAAGGCAGCUCGCUGGGACGUUACUGACGCUGAGACGCGAAAGCGUGGGGGAGCAAACAGG
rnacentral:rRNA from 1 species